UGUGGCCGGUGGCCGGCGCCGCCGAGGCCAUCCCACCGGCUGAGCGGCAGAGUUGCGUUGCGAUGGCUUUGAUGAGGUGGAUGUGGAAUACGAGGGAGAUCUGGCAGCGGCAAAUGAGAGACACGGCCAUAAUACCAGCAAGAAGAGGAGAAGAUAACUGAGAUAAGAAACAGCACCAGUCAGUACCUGUUGCUGCUGCUACUGACUAGCCCUUGGAGAUGAGGCGUGGGCACAUCACCCACCUGAAGUACUACAUGCUCGGCGCGUUCGGGCACUACGUCAAUCUCAGCCGACCACCGAGAGACUGAUUUAAGAUCACCAGGAAGGAAUAGUCAAGGUGCAUUAAAGAGGUUCCAGAUCUCUAAUAUCAUCAAAUAGCAACUUCAGGUUAGUUAAAAUUUUCGAUUUGCACAUGUCAUGACAGGCUGCAACAACUGAAUUUUGUGUUCACAAAGUAUCACCACAUCAAUGAUUGGCAUUUCUUAGAUUUAGUGCUUAUGUGAGAACUUUUAGUGUGCCACCCUAACUAAUGAUCUCAGAUGGGAAUGUGUUGUCGACCUAGCAUGUCAUUUCCAGACCACAAUUAUUUGGGCAGUGGAAAGAACAAGAUUCACAGGAACACAAUUGCCCUGCUACAUUCAAGAUCGCCAGGAAAGAAUAAUUGUAAGGACGCACAUACCACCACUUAUACAAGUUGGAUUUUAUAGUUGUCGACAUGAGGUAUCCCUCGAAAAUUUAAACAAUUUGUUUACUCGCCCUCUGUUAUAGACCAUUUGAAUUGUUGGAACCAAUAUGUAGCCUCCUUUCCCCAACAAAUAUAUUGUUACCUCAUUAUCUCCAUUUGUUGUAAUUGAACUUCACACAUGACAGUCUUCCUUCCACCAUUAUAAUGCUACACUUCCAUAAGUACUUAACCUUAUUCUCAUUCAGGUAUGCACAGAUCAAAAAAUGUUUACUCCAUCUUUGUAAGCUACUGAAAAUUAGAGCUGAUAACAAUCUGGUAAAGGAUUAAUGACAACUGGUUCUGCCACCACAAGAUAACAUGGAAUACAGGUCCACCUGAUUUCUGGAUUAUAUCUAUCCUGAUUUGUUUUUCUUUUCAUGUUUCAGUUAACAGACUGCAAUCCCGAUGGUUGCAUUUUAGUACUUCAACAUUGUUUUGGAUGAAGUGCUGCUGAGUGUAGAGGUGGCAAAAAGAUAGUUUACACACUAUUUUCAAAUAUUGUAUGGAUAGAAUGUACUUCAGCACCUGGUUCUGGGAAGCACUGAGGACAUUAUGAUGUUUCCUUGAAACAUUGUCAAAUGAACUUGAUCUAUCCAGAGCUAUAAACUUGAUCUAUCCCGAGCUAUGUUACAGGUCUAGGGAGAGGUAGGAAAGGCUCCUUCCACUCAGGUGGUCAGGUCUGUAUAGGCUGGUGUCUAGGUUCAUUCAUCGCCAUCAACAAUACAGACAAGACAAAUUUUGGGUGCUCCAUGAUGUUGAGUACUCCGAGGUGGCUACCCCAUUAUGGAUAUCAAGAGAAUGCUUGCAAAUUUUUUUGUUGACUCUCACCGCAACAGAAGGGUAUGUUGGCUUACUUCUGGAUCAAGGACAACAAAAGUUGCACGGAAAAUAGGAGCUGGUUAUUUGAGCUCCAUCGCGGGAGCAAGACUUUGCUCAAGGAAUUAACCUGUCUAUAGAUGUCAACUGCAAGUAUUUGAUGCUUAACUUAGCUACAGCAGUUGAUGCAGUCAUGGAUAGAGGCUUACGUCAGAUGUAGAUAGUGCUAUGCUUCUGCCAGCCGGUAGUACUUUGUGGCACUUCCAGUGUUUUAUUUUCUGUUGUCUAUGUUCUUAAUUGCGGAAGACUAUUUCUAUAAUUACCUACUUUUGGUUCGAUUGGUUUACUCAGCAUUAAUCUACAGCUCCAUGUGAUGCUAUCUUUUCUUA